rnacentral:rRNA from 1 species
GCAGCCCUGGGACGCAGCAGUGGGGAAUAUUGCGCAAUGGGCGAAAGCCUGACGCAGCGACGCCGCGUGGGGGAUGAAGGUCUUCGGAUCGUAAACCUCUGUCAGCAGGGAAGAACGGUCACUGUGCUAAUCAGCAGUGAAUUGACGGUACCUGCAAAGGAAGCACCGGCUAACUCCGUGCCAGCAGCCGCGGUAAUACGGAGGGUGCGAGCGUUAAUCGGAAUUACUGGGCGUAAAGCGCUCGUAGGCGGUAUGUCAAGUCAAGGGUGAAAUCCCCGCGCUCAACGUGGGAACUGCCUUUGAAA